AUGCAGCCGGAGGGCAAUCUAUCUUUUGACCCGGUCUGCAUAUGGCUAUGGUUCAGAUACAGACUAAAUACUUUCUUUCGUGCUUUGAUCUCAGCUGGUGGAAGUAGAGUGGCUAUUGCUCCUGACCAUUCAAACUUUUCCCAAUCUUCCGGAUAGUAACCGCGCCAUUCAUAGCCAUCGGGGAAACAGCCCUCUUCCCUCGGUCCGUCUUGCUUCUGCUUGA